CCGAAAUAUUAAGAUUUUUAGAAAGUAUAAGGAAAUAAAUGUAUUUUUAUUGCAAUUCGGCAACAUUGCUAUAUAUUUGGUCUAGCCAUUAUCUCCCUCAGUUAAUAUUGUCUAGUUGUGACAGCGUGUGUUGUUCGAAGCUUAACAGGUGCAUCCAGUUUUAAGAGUUUUUUAAAGAAUUUGUUAAGGAAGGCCAUUCAUGAGAAUAAAAAAUGCCAAAUAUCCGGAAAGAUAAAACGUAUCACAAAAAA
rnacentral:lncRNA from 1 species